rnacentral:tRNA from 1 species
GAGGGUGUAGCUCAGUGGGAGAGCGUGUGCUUAGCAUGCACGAGGUCCUGGGUUCAAUCCCCAGAGCCUCCA